AGUGAACGCUGGCGGUAGGCCUAACACAUGCAAGUCGAACGGCAGCACAGUAAGAGCUUGCUCUUACGGGUGGCGAGUGGCGGAUGGGUGAGGAAUACAUCGGAAUCUACUUUUUCGUGGGGGAGAACGUAGGGAAACUUACGCUAAUACCGCAUACGACCUACGGGUGAAAGCAGGGGAUCUUCGGACCUUGCGCGAAUGAAUGAGCCGAUGUCGGAUUAGCUAGUGGGCGGGGUAAAGGCCCACCAAGGCGACGAUCCGUAGCUGGUCUGAGAGGAUGAUCAGCCACACUGGAACUGCGACACGGUCCAGACUCCUACGGGAGGCAGCAGUGGGGAAUAUUGGACGAUGGGCGCAAGCCUGAUCCAGCCAUACCGCGUGGGUGAAGUAGGCCUUCGGGUUGUAAAGCCCUUUUGUUGGGAAAGAAAAGCAUCAGGUUAAUACCCCGCUGUUCUGACGGUACCCAAAGAAUAAGCACCGGCUAACUUCGUG
rnacentral:rRNA from 1 species